rnacentral:rRNA from 1 species
GGGAGGCAGCAGCUAAGAAUAUUCCGCAAUGGACGAAAGUCUGACGGAGCGACGCCGCGUGGAUGAAGAAGGCCGAAAGGUUGUAAAGUUCUUUUGCUAGGGGAGAAUAAGUGAGGGAGGGAAUGCCCUCAUGAUGACAAGGACUAGCGAAUAAGCCCCGGCCAACUACGUGCCAGCAGCCGCGGUAACACGUAGGGGGCGAGCGUUGUUCGGAAUUACUGGGCGUAAAGGGCAUGUAGGCGGCUUGGUAAGCCUGGCGUGAAAGACUGCAGCUUAACUGUAGGGAUGCGUUGGGAACUGCUUAGCUUGAGUUACGGAGAGGGAGCUGGAAUUCCUGGUGUAGGGGUGAAAUCUGUAGAUAUCAGGAAGAACACCGAUGGCGAAGGCAAGCUUCUGGUCGAUAACUGACGCUGAGGUGCGAAAGUGUGGGGAUCAAACAGGAUUAGAUACCC